rnacentral:lncRNA from 1 species
AAGUUAACUGCAGCCAACUAAGCAGCAAUCAUCGUAAAAAAGCAGGGACGAUUCGAAGUUCAAACCAACGGUCCCUAGAAAGAUAUCACAAGUUUGCAUUACCUCAUAGCAAGGUGCCCGAUCUGGCAACAAUCGAUCAAUACCGAUAGCACAAGUAAACUGCAGCCAACUAAGCAGCAAUCAUCGUAAAAAAGCAGGGACGAUUCGAAGUUCAAACCAACGGUCCCUAGAAAGAUAUCACAAGUUUGCAUUACCUCAUAGCAAGGUGCCCCAUCUGGCAACAAUCGAUCAAUACCGAUAGCACAAGUUCGCAUUACCUCCUACCUGGACCUACAUGAACUAUAGACCCAUCGCCCAUUCGGCAGUGAACCAAUAACUGUUUUGGGUAUGCUGUAGCAGAUAGGGGCAGCACAAAAUACAAACUAGAUUGAUAGUUUGCAAUCCUAGCCAGUGAAAUCACCCCUGCGCAAGUAGAUUCCACCAAACGACACCAUCUGCUUUGUGAAGGGUAGCGGGAACAAUGCCGACAUCCAAAGAUAAAUAUUCUAUUGAUCGACAUGAAUCAUGUUUGUACCACCAAAUCAUGAUAUCCAAGUCAGAAUGCAGCCUCGAACAGUUCAC